rnacentral:rRNA from 1 species
UGGGGAAUAUUGCACAAUGGGCGCAAGCCUGAUGCAGCCAUGCCGCGUGUAUGAAGAAGGCCUUCGGGUUGUAAAGUACUUUCAGCGGGGAGGAAGGGAGUAAAGUUAAUACCUUUGCUCAUUGACGUUACCGACAGAAGAAGCACCGGCUAACUCCGUGCCAGCAGCCGCGGUAAUACGGAGGGUGCAAGCGUUAAUCGGAAUUACUGGGCGUAAAGCGCACGCAGGCGGUUUAUUGAGUCAGAUGUGAAAUCCCCGGGCUUAACCCGGGAAUUGCAUCUGAUACUGGUCAGCUAGAGUCUUGUAGAGGGGGGUAGAAUUCCAUGUGUAGCGGUGAAAUGCGUAGAGAUGUGGAGGAAUACCGGUGGCGAAGGCGGCCCCCUGGACAAAGACUGACGCUCAGGUGCGAAAGCGUGGGGAGCAAACAGG